rnacentral:tRNA from 1 species
GGGGAUAUGGCUCAGCAGCACAGCACCUGCCUGGCAAGCACAAGGUCCUGAGUUAGAUUCCCAGUAUCCA